UUCAGAGGUCCCAAGCGUUGUUCGGAUUCACUGGGCGUAAAGGGUGCGUAGGCGGCCGGGUAAGUCUGAUGUGAAAUCCCGCAGCUUAACUGCGGAACUGCAUCGGAUACUCUCCGGCUAGAGGAAUGGAGGGGAGACUGGAAUUCUCGGUGUAGCAGUGAAAUGCGUAGAUAUCGAGAGGAACACCAGUGGCGAAGGCGAGUCUCUGGACAUUUCCUAACGCUGAGGCACGAAAGCCAGGGGAGCAAACGGG
rnacentral:rRNA from 1 species